UACCACCCGUCUACUAGGCCUACUACUAAACGCAUCUCCUUUGCGCGGUAUGCCGGUGGGCAAAACCUGGAUCUGAUUCAGCCCCUCACCACAUAACAAGCCCGCGCUACUGCGCGGGUUUUUUU
rnacentral:sRNA from 1 species